rnacentral:pre_miRNA from 1 species
UUUUUAAAAUUUUAUCCACUUGUAGUGUUAAAAACUAGCAUAACUAAUGGAAUAACCAGAUAUAAUACGUGGCAUGCCAUGUGUAUAUUAUGUUGACAUACAAGGACUCAUUUUUAACAGUAGAAAUGAAUAAAAUUUUUAACA